rnacentral:rRNA from 1 species
CCUACGGGAGGCAGCAGUGGGGAAUAUUGCGCAAUGGGGGAAACCCUGACGCAGCAACGCCGCGUGAGUGAGGAAGGACUUCGGUCUGUAAAGCUCUGUUAAUGAGGAAAAAUGGUAGUUGGUCUAAUAGGCCGAUUAUUUGAUGGUACUCAUAGAGGAAGCACCGGCUAACUUCGUGCCAGCAGCCGCGGUAAUACGAAGGGUGCAAGCGUUGUUCGGAUUUAUUGGGCGUAAAGCGCGCGUAGGCGGACCCGCAAGUCAGAUGUGAAAUCUCGAGGCUCAACCUCGAAACUGCGUCUGAAACUACGGGUCUAGAAUCUCGGAGGGGGAAGGGGAAUUUCGCAUGUAGGGGUAAAAUCCGUAGAUAUGCGAAGGAACACCAGAGGCGAAGGCGCCUUCCUGGACGAGUAUUGACGCUGAGGCGCGAAAGCGUGGGGAUCAAACAGGAUUAGAUACCCUGGUAGUCCACGCUGUAAACGAUGAACACUAGGUAUUGGAGGAUUUGACCCCUUCAGUGCCGUAGCUAACGCGUUAAGUGUUCCGCCUGGGAAGUACGGUCGCAAGACUAAAACUUAAAGGAAUUGACGG